rnacentral:ncRNA from 1 species
GGACUCUGAAGAGACUUAAGUUAAGAUACUAUAAGUCACCGAAGAAGCAAAAUAAUAUUAAAUUAUUAAAUCUUUCAGGUAUACAAACAGGGAUAUAUAG